UGGGGAAUAUUCCGCAAUGGACGAAAGUCUGACGGAGCAACGCCGCGUGAGUGAUGAAGGUUUUCGGACUGUAAAGCUCUGUUGUUUAGGACGAAAGUGCCUGUUGCGAACAGUUACAGGUAUUGACGGUACUAAACGAGGAAGCCACGGCUAACUACGUGCCAGCAGCCGCGGUAAUACGUAGGUGGCAAGCGUUGUCCGGAAUUAUUGGGCGUAAAGAGCAUGUAGGCGGAGAUUUAAGUCUGUUGUGAAAAUGCGGGGCUCAACCCCGUAUUGCGAUGGAAACUGAAUUUCUUGAGUGCAGGAGAGGAAAGGGGAAUUCCCAGUGUAGCGGUGAAAUGCGUAGAUAUUGGGAGGAACACCAGUGGCGAAGGCGCCUUUCUGGACUGUGUCUGACGCUGAGAUGCGAAAGCCAGGGUAGCGAACGGGAUU
rnacentral:rRNA from 1 species